CCGACUCCCUCUCCCUCAUGCAACCCUGUGUCUCAUACUCGAUCUUCUCUCUCCUCGUUCCUCAGCACCGCCGACCACCACCUUCUCUCUGCUGGCGCAGCCGAUGCGGUUGCCGUGGCUGUGGUGUGAUUUUGUUAGUACCGCUCUUCUCCCUCUCUUGACUAUGCUCUCAGCUUCCUCUCCUUGUGUCGUGUGGCCGCUGCUGCCGCCACAAUUGAAGGCCUUGAUUGACGCCACUAGUACUCCGUUACUCAUUGGUAACUUCCCUAAAACUCUUUUACUAAUUAAUUUAUGAUUCAAUUCUAAUUGAGGAAUCUGAAAACCCUAACUUUCUCUUCCUUUAUAUUUCUCACUCCCCUCCGGCGAGAGGCCGUGCCGCCGUCUCUGCUGGCUCGCCACCAUCUCAGAAGCUGUCGGUGGUUGCUUUGUUAUUGAGGUUGUUCUAGUUGUUGAGUUCUUCCUCAUGAUUCCCUUUCCUAUGGCUUCCCCUGCCUCGCGUUGCUCCCUUUUUCCUCUUUUGCCCAUCGGGGCUCUGUGGCUCGAGGAACCGUAGCUGCUACUGCAUGCAAGCUGUUGUUGUUGCUUGUCAUUGUUGUUGUUUCCUUCAUGCUUUUCCAAUUUCCUUGAGGAGAAGAGUUAAGGAGAUUCAAGUCAUGGAAUUAAGCGGAGAAUGAUAAUCGAAUGAGGCUUGAAAUUUAUGUGGUGAAUCGAGAGUUAAAACUUUUUGCAGGCAGCGAGAAUCAAGUCUCAGUUCAGGUUCAAGGUGCGUAGAGUCCUCCAGAGGCCUUAUAUGUUUCAAGGCGGGCAUAUGGAUUCUCCAAGUGAAUUUAAGUCCUUCCUAAUUUAUUAAUGGGUUGUAUUAUUUGUUUCUAGAGUUUGUUUUCUUCUUUUGAUUAUUAUUUAUGGAUUAGAUAUCCUUGUUGAGUUGGUGUCACUCCAAUGAUGUCUUUGGGAGAUGUUAUAUGCUGGAAUGAUGUAAUAGCAGGUGAAAGAAAAUUUGACGUAAU